rnacentral:tRNA from 1 species
AGGGCCUUGGUUCAAUGGUAGAACGUUCGCCUCCAAAGCGAAAUACGCGGGUUCGAUUCCUGCAGGCCCUG